GAAAAGGGAAAAUUGAAGGUUUGAAGCUUUAAGCUUUAAUAGGUUAAGUAAAGAUAGUACGUUGAAUCAGCAUCCCAAGACGAUCCCGAAUUCAUUAAGGUAAAGUAUGUUGAGUAUUGAUAAUGGCAUGUACCUAGGACGUUUUAUGAGAGUCAUUUAGGUUAUAGAAGUAUUGAUGAAAUGAGUAAAUUAUGGUUGGCAACGGUAUGUAGUAUGAAUUUUGAAAUUUACUAAGAAUUCGUAGUGAUUCUAAA